GCACAAGCGGUGGAGCAUGAGGUUCAAUUCGACGCAACGCGAAGAACCUUACCCAGGCUUGAACAGCGAGUGACAAACUACGAAAGUGGUCUUCCGCAAGGACACUCGUAGAGGUGCUGCAUGGCUGUCGUCAGCUCGUGUCGUGAGAUGUUGGGUUAAGUCCCGCAACGAGCGCAACCCUUGUCUUCUGUUGCCAUCAGGUCAAGCUGGGCACUCUGGAGAGACUGCCGGUGAUAAACCGGAGGAAGGUGGGGAUGACGUCAAGUCAGCAUGGCCUUUAUGUCUGGGGCUACACACGUGCUACAAUGGCCGACACAAACCGUCGCAAAACCGCGAGGUGGAGCUAAUCGGAGAAAGUCGGUCUCAGUUCGGAUAGCAGGCUGCAACUCGCCUGCUUGAAGUUGGAAUCGCUAGUAAUCGCGGAUCAGCACGCCGCGGUGAAUACGUUCCCGGGCCUUGUACACACCGCCCGUCACAUCAUGAAAGCCGGCUGCACUAGAAGUCGCUACAUCAACCCGCAAGGGAGAGAGGCGCCUAAGGUAU
rnacentral:rRNA from 1 species